rnacentral:lncRNA from 1 species
CCGGCCUUGGAGAAGAAGGGGGCCUGGCCCCAGGUGCUGAGGGAUGGGAAAGGAGUGACCUUUCAAUGUAGGAAACUUGGAGUUAUCACAACAGCCCUCAAGGUGGGGAUUCCUCUUCUCCCACACCUGUUUUAUAGAAGAGACAUGUGAGGCUCAGAGAGGGAGAGGAUUUGCCCAGGACCAACUACAAGUGAGUCAGGACUUGAGCCCAGUGCCGUGUUUCCAGAGGCUGAGCUCUUGUCUCUUUCUUGACACUUUGCAUCCUGAUGCUGAGGCACAGAUGGGGUGUGGGCUGUGCCUGGCUCACACAGCGAGGUACGUCUCUAGGGCCAUCUGCUAUGUGAAGGCCAGGAGGAGAAGGCUUGUCUGCCAGCCCCACUCAGCUCACUGCAGUCACAGCUU